CGUAACACUGGUGGCAGCGGUGGGAUACAGAGAGAGAGAGAGAGAGUCUAGUGUAGCAGGUAAGAAAGGUGUUAUACAGGUGACUUAAUUAACAUCACUUUCCCUUUCUUCUUUCCUUCCACCCCUCCCCCCCUUUCUUUUUCCUUCCUCUUUCCUCUUUCCCUUUUUUUCCUCCUUUUCUCUUCCCUCCCUCCCUCACCUUCUCUUCUCCAAACCCUUCAUCUUUCCUUUCCUCCAUUUUUUAUCUUCUUUUUCCUCCAACUCUCCCCUUCAUCUUUCCUUCCCCUUCUUUCCUCCUCUUUUACCGCCCUCUCCUUACCUUCUUUUUCCUCCUCCUCCUCCUCUUUACUCCUUUUCCUCCCUCUCCUUUCCUUCUCUCCUCUUUCCUCUUUUACCUCCCUCUCCUUACCUUCUUUUUCCUCCCUCUGUUAUCUCCCCUUUCCUCCUCCUCUUUCUCUUUCCUCCUUCCCUUCCUUACCUACCUCCAUUUCCCUUCCUCUUUGUCCCUGAAUUUCCUCCCCAUCCUAUUACCUUCCCUUUUCUCCCUACCAUAAUACCUCUUUCUUUACCUCCCCUUUCUUCCUCCCUCUCCCUCCCUCCCUCCCUUCUUCCCUCUCUCUUUCCUCCUACCUCCCCUUCCUUGUCUUCCUUCCCCUUUCCCUUCCCCCUCUCCUCUUCCUUUCUCCUUUAUUCCUUCCUUCUCUUCUCUUCCUCCCCUCCUUGUCUUCCUUACCCUCCUCCUCCUCCUCCUCCUCCUCCUCCUCCUCCUCCUCCUCCUCCUCCUCCUCUUCCUGUCCUUGCAACACAAACGGGUUAGCCAAGGAUCUGAUAUUGUGUUGAUAACCUUGGCAACACUGUAAUAUUAUUGUAACACUAUCUGUAGCGACUCUAGCAACAACACAAGUCUGGUAACACUGGUAACUUUUGACUUGUAGAUAUUGGUAACAUUUAGUAAUGGAUUUUGGUAGCAUUUAUAGGGACAUCAUUUAUUUGGACUUUGUAACACUCGUCUUUGCCAACACAACAAGCAACACAAAAUUGGUAAUACUGUAAAAGAGGUUAUAAUAAGCUUCUGGUAACACUGAUUAACUCUGGUUCACAUUAUUGGUAACACUUCACCAGCAUCAUUAUUUUAACAUGGCAACACUUUCUGGCAACUCAACAAUCUACACAAAAUUGGUAAUACUGUAAAAGAGAUUAUAAUGAACUUCUGGUAACACUGAUUAACACUGGCUCACAUUAUUGGUAACACUUUUCCAGGAUCAUUAUUUUAACAUGGCAACACUUUCUGGCAACUCAACAAUCUACACAAAAUUGGCAAUACUGUAAAUUAACUUGUAUAGCUUUUGGCAACAGUUAGUAACAUUGCAACACAUUUUGGUAACAUUUUUAGGCACACAAUUUAUUCUAACAUGGCAACACUUAUUAGCAAUAUUAAGACUGCAACACAAAUUGGUAAUACAAUAGAUGAAGUUAUGACAAGCUCUUGGUAACACUGAUUAACUCUUGCCUCACAAUAUUGGUAACACUUUUAGGACAUUAUUUCAACAUGGCAACACUCGUCCUUAAGAACUUAAGAACAACAACAAGAGUAACACAAAUUUCGCAGUAUUGUAACACUGGUAACACUGAUUAACAUUGAUUCACAUCCUUGGAAACACUUUUAGAACAUCAGUAUUUCAACAUGGCAAUACUUUUAGCAACACAACAACACAAAACAUCAACAACAGCAACACAAUUUUUGGUAUUACUAUAAUCUUUAACUUGUAGCCUUUUUAUAUAACAAUUGCUACUAUUUACACGCUUGCUUGGUAACACUAGAACAACAAUACGCAACACUAGCCAACACAAGAACAACACAUCUUUGGUAACACUGUAGCUCUUGACAUCUAGGCAUUGACAACACUUUAGCAACAUCAAACCGCUUCCCUGGUAACACUGGAAACAUUAACAUGCAACACAAGAGCAACACAUCUUUGGUAACACUGCAGCUCUUGACUCCUAGGCAUUGGCAACACUUAGUAACAUCAACACUUCUCUCUGGUAACACUGGAAACAUUAACAAGCAACACUGCAACACAAGAGCAACAUAUCUUUGAUAACACUGUAGCUCUUGACUCCUAGGCAUUAGCAACACUUAGUAACAUCAACACUUUUCUCUGGUAACACUGAAAACAUGAUCAGGUAACACUGCAACACUCACAGCAACAUAACGUAGGUAGCAUUGCGACAUUUGACUCGUAGCUUUUUGGUAACACUAGGCAACCAUUUAAACGCAUCCUUGGCAACACUGGGACAUUUAAACAUCAUUGCAACAGUUGUCAUUCGCAACACAAAUUUGGUAACACUGCAACACUUGACUUAUCGCUUCUGGUAACAUUUGGCAAGGUGGACACACAAAUCUGGCAACACUGAGACAUUUAAGCAACAUUGCAACACACCGUCAUUCGCAACACAACAGCAACACAAACUUGGUAACACUGCAACAUUUGACUUAUCGCUUCUGGUAACAUUUGGCAAGGUGGACACACACUUAUGGCAACACUGGAACAUGAAGACACAUUGCAACACUACUUUUUGGCAACACUGCAACAUAUGUAACAUAAGCAACAUUAGAACAACAAAACUACAUCACAACACUCAUUUCACGCAACAUUUUAACACAUAAUACUUACCAAUACACAUCUGGCAACACUAGAAAUACAUAUGGCAACACUGCAACAUUUGUAACACACUAGAACAACAAAAAAUAUUACAACACUCAUUUCUUGCAACAUUUUAACACAGAACACACAUAAAAAAACACAUCUGGCAACACUGCAAACUCACGCAACACAAAAACGUACACUUGGCAACACUGCGGCGCAACACAAGACAGUCGACCAAUCAGAAGCCUUCCUGCAAUCUUUUUCUUUUUUUCUUUUUUUCUUCUGCUUUUCGUCUUUAUUCACUUCGCCUCCUCCUCUUCUUUCUUUGUUCCUCUUCUUCUCCUUCGUGUUCUUUUAUCUUGUUUUUUCUUCUAUUCCUUCUUCGUCUUCAUUUUCUUCUUCUUUUCUUCUUUUUCUUCUUCAUCUUUGUCUUCUUCUUCCUCUUCUUUCUCCUGUUCUUGUUUUACUAUUACUACUAUUACUUCUUUUCUUCUUCUUCUUCUUCUUCUUUUUUUUUUCUUCUUCUUCUUCUUCUUCUUCUUCUUUUCUUCCUUGUCUUCCCGUUUUCGUUUGCUCUCUGUCUGUUUACUGGGGAUAAUAAACAACAGAGAGACAAAACGUGACGAACGAACGAACACACACACACACACACACACACACACACACACACACACACACACACACACACACACACACACACACACACACACAAACACAUGCCGCAUACCGCAUUCUAAUUUAGUUGUUUUGUUUUGUUUUUUUCAUUUUCUAUUUCGUUUUCAAUUUUCUCUUCCUCUUUAUUUUAUCACUUUCUCUAUUCAAUGUUUUCACUUUUUAUUAUUUUUUUUCUUUUUAUUCAUUUUCACGUUUUAUCUUCCUCUUUUUCACUCCGUUGUUUUUUUUACCAUAAUCUUUUUUUUUUUACUUUUCUCGUUUUCUUUUUCUCACAUUCUAUUCGUUUGUUUUCCUUUCCUUUCUUUUCCUUUCCUUUCGUUUUCUUUCUUUAGCUUCCAUUGUUGUUGUAUUUCUUUCAUUUCCUCUUUUCUUCCCGUUGUUUUCUCUCAUUCUUUCUUUUUCCUGUUUUUCUUCUCUUUUUUAUUCCUCUCAUUGUUUUCUUUACUUUUUCUAUCUCUUUCGUGCGACCGCCAAAGAACAACAGAAAUAAAAGAACAGAAGAGAAAGGAGAAAAGACGCACGAUAGAAAGAGAAAGGAGGAGAAGGGAAAAGAAAAAAAAGAAAAGACGAACGAUAGAAAGAGAGAAGAGGAGGGAAAAAGAAGGGACGGAGAGGAAAGGGAGAGGAGGCACGGUAGAUAGAGAAAGGAGGAGAAGGGAAGAGAAAAUAAAAAAAUAAAAGACGAACGGUAGAGAGAGAGAAGAGGAGAGAAAAAAGAGGGGACGGAGAGGAAAGGGAAAGGAAGGGGAGGGGAAGGGAUGGGGCGAUGGAGUUACGUAAAAAAAAUAGUCCAAUGUUUGUAUUUAAUUUCUUUUUAUUCAUUUAUUUUCCACUUCACCGCGCGGACCUGUAUGUACUACCCCCCCCCUCCUCCUCCUCCUCCUCCUCCUCCUCCUCCUCCUCCUCCUCCUCCUCCUCCUCCUCCUCCUCCUCCUCCUCCUCCUCUCAAUUCCCUUUCAUCCGCAUUGGACUUGAGCGCCCUCAAUAGAAGUACCGUUAACAGAGAAAGUACCGUUGAAAGUAGUACCGCUGACAGGAAGUACCGUUAACUCAGUACCGUUAAUAGAGAAAGUACCGUUGAAAGUAGUUCCGCUGACAGAGGAAGUACCGUUCACUCAGUACCGUUAAGAGAAAGUACCGUUGAAAGUAGUACCGUUAACAGAGAAGGACCGUUGAAAGUAGCACCGUUAACAGAGAAAGUACCUUAACUCAGUACCGUUAACAGAGAAAGUACCGUUGACAGUAGUACCGCUGACAGAGGAAGUACCGUUAACUCAGUACCGUUAACAGAGAAAGUACCGUUGAAAGUACAGCUAACGUUACUUUUUUACAUAAUUCACUGUUUUACUUUUCAAUCACUACUUUUUAACUGACUUUUCUUUCCUACUUUUUAUGAUAUGUUACUUAAGACUUCCCUUUCUUACUUUCCUUUGGUGUGGUUACUUACUUAUCUCACACAAUCUUCACACACAAACACACAAACACACAUAUUUCAGACCCGCCGUUAGCUAGUUAGUCAGUUCUCAUAGUCUUCAUCCUUACUUCCCUACCGUUUCCAGUUAGCCCGAAUCGAGUCAGCCCAAGCAAUAUAGUGUUUUCGCUCUUAAGUAGCAAUAUAUAUCAGUAGCAUCACCUUAGGCUUCGUUGGCUCGAUUCGCGAAAACUGAAGACUCGCGUAGAAGUGCGAUUCGCGUAAUCCGAAUUCGCGAACCUUGAAUUUUUGGGUCUGAAAGCGUCGAUUUUUAGGGGGGCUGUACCCACCUGCUUCACCAGUACCCAUUUAGGGGGCUACAGCUCACCCUAGUAACACACACACACACACACACACACACACACACACACACCGCUUGACUUUACUAUACUUUCUAACUGUUCCAGGGAGGCAAACACACACACACACACACACACACACACACACACACACACACACACACAAACGCAAAAACAAAAAAGUGACCAAAAAGUAGUUCGUAAAAUCAAACACACACACACACACACACACACACACACACACACACACACAAACGCAAAAACAAAAAAGUGACCAAAAAGUAGUUCGUAAAAUCAAACACACACACACACACACACACACACACACACACACACACACACACACACACACACACACACAUAUAA